rnacentral:tRNA from 1 species
AAAAAAUUAGUUAAUUCAUAAUAUAAGCUUGUCAAGCUUAAGUAACUAAUUAAAUUUAGUAUUUUUUA